rnacentral:rRNA from 1 species
GGGUCAGUAGGUUGGUCGUGCCACCGGUACGUACUGGUCUCACUAAUUCCUCCUUCCUGAAGAACCGUAAUGCCAUUAAUUUGGUGUUGCGGGGAAGCAGGACUGUUACUUUGAAAAAAUUAGAGUUUUUAAAGCAAGCUAACGCUUGAAUACAUUAGCAUGGAAUAAUGAAAUAGGACGAUCGAUCCUAUUUUGUUGGUUUCUAGGAUUGACGUA